CCGUUCUUAGUUGGUGGAGCGAUCUGUCUGGUUAAUUCCGAUAACGAACGAGACUCUCCCCUGCUAACUAGUCGGUUGGAUCUUGAUCAGUGGGUUGCGUGCUGAGUAACUCUCGCGCUUCGCGUGUGACUUUAUGUUGUGCGUGUUGUGUGUUGGAUGCCUUGGAUCACACUGCACCCCAAGUCCGCCGCUUAUGCUAUAACUCUUCUUAGAGGGAUUCACGGCACUGAAGCCGUAAGAGACUGAGAGCAAUAACAGGUCUGUGAUGCCCUUAGAUGCUCUGGGCCGCACGCGCGCUACAAUGCCGGGUUCAGCAGGUGUUACUCCUGCUCCGUUAGGAGCGGGUAACCCUAUGAAAGCCAGUGUUUUUGCAAGUGCUUCCUCCCUCGUGGAGUUGCACAGAGGCGUGCUUGGGCCUGGGACUUGCAAUUCUUUCCCACCAACGAGGAAUGCCUAGUAGCGGCGGGUCACUGAGCCCGCCGUGACUCAGUCCCUGCCCUUUGUACACACCGCCCGUCGCUACUACCGAUUGGGUGUACCAGUGAGAGCCUUGGACUGGCGUCCGUUGUUAUUCGCAAGAGUGACAAACGGUUCCGACGGAAAGAGGUCCGAACUGGUGCACUUAGAGGAAGUAAAAGUCGUAACAAGGUUUCCGUAGGUGAACCUGCGGAAGGAUCAUUA
rnacentral:rRNA from 1 species